rnacentral:ribozyme from 13 species
AGAGAAAGAAUAAAAAGAAGAAGAAGAAUAAACAGAAGAGGAAGGGUGGGGAAGACAGCAAUGUCACAUCGAAUUGGUUCGAUAAGGUUUCUUCUUUUUAUUUUGUCUUGAUGAAUGGAAACCUUUUCAAGUUCCUAA